rnacentral:lncRNA from 1 species
CAUAUAUCAAAAUGAUGUUAAAAUAAUUAUUUGUUUAUUGGUCCACAUUUUUCACUUGUUACAAAAUAUAUUAAAAUACGGAAAUAUAUAAAAUGAAAGAAAAUAUUUCUGGUAUAUAAUGAUGAAUUUCAUAAACCAUUCUUAAUGAUUCCUUGUGUAUUCCAUACAUAUUCAUACAAUCAUUCAUAAAAACUAUCAUACAGGCAUACACAUAUAUAUAUGUACUUAUAAUGUAGGUAUGUAUGUAUCUAUGUAUGUGUGCGUGUGCAUGAGUAUGUAUAUGUGCAUAUAUACAUAUAGUCAUACACCUAUGUUUUAAUUUUUUUUUAUCCCUUAUUUAAUAAUUCUUUCUUUGAUGGUAUUUUCAAUAUUUGUAAAAAUUGUAGCAUAGUCAUAUGUGUAAGAGUGUGUGUGUGAAUGUAUCGCUCGCUCUCUUUCUCUCUCUCUCUCUCUCUCUCUCAUUAUAUAUAUAUAUAUAUAUAUAUAUAUAUAUAUAUAUAUAUAUAUAUAUAUAUAUAUAUAUAUAUAUAUAUAUAUAUAUAUAUAUAUAUAUAUAUAUAUAUAUAUAUAUAUAUAUAUAUAUAUAUAUAUAUAUAUAUAUAUAUAUAUAUAUGUUUGUAUAUAUAUAUACACACUCACACACAACUAUAUAUGUAUACAUAUGUAUAAACAUAUAUUUGAUAUAUAUGUGUGUGUGCAUGUGGGUUCUGUGUGUAAGAAUGUAUAUAGGUAUAUGUACAUGUAUAUAUACAGGGUGUCCCAGAAUUAACUAUCUAUUUCAGUGAAAUUGGACAAUUUUUGGACAAUUUUUGUUAAAACUCACUUUUAUUUAUUUAUCAUGUUGAAAAUGUGUUAAAAGUGUAUAAAUUUUAAAUUUUGUUUGUAAUUUUAUAAUUCUAUUUUCGUUCCCUUUGGUCCCUGCUUAUCGGUCCAUGGCAGCUUUUUUUUUAAUUUGGCUACAAUUAGUUGCUCUACCUCCAUCCACAUGAUGGAGCAAUAGAUAAACUGAGCUCAAAGAAUACAUUCAGUCAGCAGUGCAGGAGAUAACUCCUGAAAUUCUUCAAAAUGGGUUUCAAAAUGCUAAGGAUAAAUUUGAAAUUUACAGGGAUAAAAAUAAAUCAUAUACUCUUUUACUUGUUUCAGUCAUUUGACUGUGGCCAUGCUGGAGCACUGCCUUUAGUCGAGCAUAUCGACCACCGAACUUAUUCUGUGUACUUAUUCCAUCAUUCUCUUUUGCCGAACUGCUAAGUUACGGGGACGUAAACACACCAGCAUCGGUUGUCAAGUGAUGUUGUGAGGACAAACACAGACGCACAAACAUAUACACACGCAUACAUACAUAUAUAUAUAUAUAUAUAUACACAUAUACCAUGGGCUUCUUUCAGUUUCCAUCUAUCAAAUCCACUAACAAGGCUUUGGUCGGCCCAGGGCUACAGUAGAAAACACUUGCCCAAGGUGCCACGCAGUGGGACUGAACUCAGAACCAUGGGGUUGGUAAGCAAGCUACUUACCACACAGCCACUGCUACACAUGUUGAAAAUUUUCAGUAAAGUUUUGACGAAAGAUUUACAAAUCCAUUUUGGUAUCCUAAUUAAGCAAUAAAUAUAAGGUUCUGUCAGCUUUUUAAAAUUUGCCUGAUCUCAUUGACAUAGAUGGUUAAUUCCAAGACACCCUAUAUAUGUGUGUAUGUGUAUUUGUACUUUAUUUUGCCAAUAAACAUAUGCACAGAUGGUAGUUCACAGUAAUUUUAUUGUUAAACGAUCAAUAAAUCGUUAACUAUUGAUAAGUAUGAAACUGAAGUGAGCUACAACCAGUGCAUGAGUUUAUUAACAGAAUGAGCCUUCUAAAGUUAAAAUAUGUCAGUUUCAACCAAAGAUUUCAUAUCAAAUUACUUCAAAAACAAUUCCACACUUUCACACACACACACACACACACACACACGCGUGUAUAUAUACCUACAUAGAGAUACAUGCAUAUAAUAUAUGCAUAUGUAUAUGUGUGUGUGUAUGUGUGUAUGUAUGUGUGUGUGUGUGUGUGUGUGUGCAUACGCAUGUACAUAUAUACAUGUAUAUAUAUAUGUGUAUGCACACACAUAAUAUAUACGUACAAUACCUUAAUAAAACUGGGUGUUUAUUUUGAGCAAGUACUUGAUGUGUUAUUAAUACAUUAUUAGAAGCUUGUUAUUAAACUGAAAAAGUAGGGGUCAGUUUAUGUUGCCAUGGAUUCCUUCCCUUGAUAUGUUCACUCUGUGAGAUAUUCUUCUGUAUGUCAUUUCUUUGAUUCAUUCCUUCUACUACAUCAUCGCCAUAAUAUUCUUCAUCAUCAUCAUCAUCAUCAUCCAAAGUUUUGCUGUCAACAGCAUCGUGGUUCAUCAGUGUAUAUUACUGACAGUUGUUGUAAUCAUAGUGUUCUGAUAUCAGACUCACUUUUAUCCCUAUUCUCAUCAUUAUCACCAGCACCAGUAAUCAUUACCAGUAUUGUUGUCAUCAUUUUUGUCUGUCAUCGUCAUAAUCAUCAUCACUGUUCUUAUUGAUUCCGUCAUCGUCAUCGUCUGUCUUUAUUGUCAUCAUUUUCAUUGUCAUAUGAAGUAAUAUUUUUUUCUUUUAUUUAAGUUCAUUUGUGUGUAUGUGUAUGCGUGCGUUAUGCAUGUGUGUGUGUGUGUGAAUAUAAAAAUCAUAUACAUGAAACAUGUAUAUAUGAAAUGUACAUAUGUAUUAAAUAACAUUUAAAUGUACAUGUAUAUACAUUUUAUAUCCACUCACACAUACUUAAAUAUGUAUAUGUGUGCUUAUGUGGAU